rnacentral:rRNA from 1 species
CCUACGGGAGGCUGCAGUGAGGAAUAUUGGUCAAUGGACGAGAGUCUGAACCAGCCAAGUAGCGUGGGUGAAGGAGUACUUCGGUACGUAAAGCCCUAUCAGCAGGAAAGAAAAUGACGGUACCUGACUAAGAAGCCCCGGCUAACUACGUGCCAGCAGCCGCGGUAAUACGUAGGGGGCAAGCGUUAUCCGGAUUUACUGGGUGUAAAGGGAGCGUAGACGGCAGUGCAAGUCCGGAGUGAAAGCCCGGGGCUCAACCCUGGGACUGCUCUGGAAACUGUAAAGCUGGAGUGUGUGAGAGGAUAGUGGAAUUCCAGGUGUAGGAGUGAAAUGCGUAGAUAUCUGGAGGAACAUCAGUGGCGAAGGCGACUAUCUGGCACAUAACUGACGCUGAGGAGCGAAAGCGUGGGUAGCAAACAGGAUUAGAUACCCCAGUAGUC